rnacentral:rRNA from 1 species
GAUGAACGCUGGCGGCGUGCCUAAUACAUGCAAGUAGAACGCUGAAGCUUGGUGCUUGCACCGAGCGGAUGAGUUGCGAACGGGUGAGUAACGCGUAGGUAACCUGCCUCUUAGCGGGGGAUAACUAUUGGAAACGAUAGCUAAUACCGCAUAAAAGUCGAUAUCGCAUGAUAUUGAUUCGAAAGGUGCAAUUGCAUCACUAAGAGAUGGACCUGCGUUGUAUUAGCUAGUUGGUGAGGUAACGGCUCACCAAGGCGACGAUACAUAGCCGACCUGAGAGGGUGAUCGGCCACACUGGGACUGAGACACGGCCCAGACUCCUACGGGAGGCAGCAGUAGGGAAUCUUCGGCAAUGGGGGCAACCCUGACCGAGCAACGCCGCGUGAGUGAAGAAGGUUUUCGGAUCGUAAAGCUCUGUUGUAAGAGAAGAACGAGUGUGAGAGGGAAAGUUCACA